rnacentral:rRNA from 1 species
UACGUAGGGUCCAAGCGUUAAUCGGAAUUACUGGGCGUAAAGCGUGCGCAGGCGGUUGUGUAAGUCAGAUGUGAAAUCCCCGGGCUCAACCUGGGAAUUGCAUUUGAGACUGCACGGCUAGAGUGUGUCAGAGGGGGGUAGAAUUCCACGUGUAGCAGUGAAAUGCGUAGAUAUGCGGAGGAACACCGAUGGCGAAGGCAAUCCCCUGGGCCUGCACUGACGCUCAUGCACGAAAGCGUGGGGAGCAAACAGG